UGGGGUGCUCGAGUGGCGAACGGGUGAGUAACACGUGAGUAACCUGCCCUUGACUUUGGGAUAACUUCAGGAAACUGGGGCUAAUACCGGAUAGGAGCUCCUGCUGCAUGGUGGGGGUUGUAAAGUUUCGGCGGUUGGGGAUGGACUCGCGGCUUAUCAGCUUGUUGGUGGGGUAGUGGCUUACCAAGGCUUUGACGGGUAGCCGGCCUGAGAGGGUGACCGGCCACAUUGGGACUGAGGUACGGCCCAG
rnacentral:rRNA from 1 species